rnacentral:lncRNA from 1 species
UCUUACAUCUCCUUGCCUGAAUGAAAAAAGAAUAUGGUAUAAAAAGGCUGCUUGGAUGUACACUUAUAAAGGACAAAGAUUGCUUUUCGGAAAAGCAUCUUACAGGCAGGUGUUUAUUACUCUGAAUCGAUGGUUCUCAAACUGUGAGUUGUAUCUCAUUGCUGGUUCCUAAAAUGGUUCGUGAAAUCAACUUUUUGAACGGCAUAAAGUGCAAUGGAAUGGAACAGGAUGGAAAGGAAUAUAUUAGAAUGUAUCACAUAUUGUCAGGUUAACUAUUAUUUGGUGAAACUUUUACCAUAGUGCUGAACAAGAUUUGGUUUUUAAAAUAAAAAGCCACUACUUUGGAUCAUGUCAACUUGAUAUUUUGAAAAAUAUAAAUGCACUAUUCAUACUAUUCACAUUACUUUGAAUUCUUCACUCCAUUACGAUGUUUCAGAAUCAUUUCAGCUGUAAUUAGAUGAAGCCCCAAACCCUUUACACUUAGUCUCAAGAUAAAGAAAAUUAAUAAAAUGGGCUGAGCCUUUACAAUAACAACAUUCCUCGUCCUUGAGGCGUGGAAAGCCUGCAUAACAGCAACAAAUUGAAGAAGGGGUAAAUCCACCAUCCAAAACCAUCAAGAUCCUAUAUCUCUUAAAGCGAUCUGUUCUAGAGACAUCAGACUUGAACAUGGCGUCCUGACCCCAUGAACUGCGGGACUGACCCAAUGAACCGUAGAAGGGUUUUUACUAAUAUUUCAAAUGACUUUAAAAAAUUAAAAUAGAUAAAAUAUCUAAGACCAGAAAAGUAAAGAAGUGGAUACUAAAAUGGUUAAGUAUAUCAAGGUAUGUUUCAAAAAUCCUCACGUGGGGCUUCCCUGGUGGCGCAGUGGUUGAGAGUCUGCCUGCCGAUGCAGGGGACACGGGUUCGUGCCCCGGUCCGGGAAGAUCCCACAUGCUGCGGAGUGGCUGGGCCCGUGAGCCACAGCCGCUAAGCCUGAGCAUCCGGAGCCUGUGCUCCACAACGGGAGAGGCCACAACAGUGAGAGGCCUGCAUACCGC